rnacentral:rRNA from 1 species
UUCGCCAGGCUAAUACGAGCAUUAGCUUAAAACCCAAAGGACCUGACGGUGUCUUAAACCCCUCUAGAGGAGCCUGUUCUAGAACCGAUGAUACACGUUUUACCCAACCUCUUCUUGCAACUCAGCUUGUAUAUUUCCGUCAUCAGUUUACCUCUUGAAGGUUUAGAAGUAUAACAGAAUAAAAAUAAGUCUUAAGUAUGGCAGGUCAAAAUGUAGCUAAUGGAGAGGGAAGUAAUGGGCUACAUUUUCUAAUCAGAAAACACGGAUAAAGAAGUGAAACAUUUUUUUGAAGGAGGAUUUAGUAGUAAGGAGGAA